UAUUGCACAAUGGGGGAAACCCUGAUGCAGCGACGCCGCGUGAGUGAAGAAGUAUUUCGGUAUGUAAAGCUCUAUCAGCAGGGAAGAUANUGACGGUACCUGACUACGAAGCCCCGGCUAACUACGUGCCAGCAGCCGCGGUAAUACGUAGGGGGCAAGCGUUAUCCGGAUUUACUGGGUGUAAAGGGUGCGCAGGUGGCAGGGCAAGUCAGAUGUGAAAGCCCGGGGCUCAACCCCGGUAUUGCAUUUGAAACUGUCCGGCUAGAGUGCAGGAGAGGUAAGCGGAAUUCCUAGUGUAGCGGUGAAAUGCGUAGAUAUUAGGAGGAACACCAGUGGCGAAGGCGGCUUACUGGACUGUAACUGACACUGAGGCACGAAAGCGUGGGGAGCAAACAGG
rnacentral:rRNA from 1 species